GUCCCUCCGUUUUAGCUGCCGCCGCGGCGGCCGCCGAGCGCGCUCUUUCCGCCCCCUUCUCGCGCGUGAGCGCGCCCUAUCGGCUCCUGGCGCGUCAACAUUCCGCGGGCCAGGCCUUGGGGCGCGUCUGAGGAGGGGGAUGUCUGUGGCCUCUCCGCCCACACUUCCUCCACCCACCGCCCACAGCGCCCCAGAAGGACCUAUUACUCGUUUGGCUUCUGAAGGCCGAAGCCAGGCUCUGGCGGGGAUAGAACCCUGAAGGGCCUGCGCCAGCUCCAACUUAGGGCCCUGUGCGUCGUUGCGACUUCUGCUACCACCCUAUCACGCGGCACCCCCGCCCCAACUCCGCCCGGGUCUCUGAAGAGGCAAUAGGCCUUUCAUCUCCGGGGAAAGUCUCACCUUGGCCCUCAGACACCCGCCAAGAGGGGUCGGAAGGACAGAAUUAGCAUAGAGAAGAGUGGCUAGAGCACUUUUCAGGCUCUGGCCCCAGGAAUCCUUGACAGGAAGCGUGGGGUUGCUGCCCAGCCUCCCACGCAGUGUAAUAUGUUGAAGCCGGGCCCCUUUGAGGGAAUGCGACUUCCUUGGGCCGAGGGGGAAAGGGCAGUGCCUGAUGGCUGAGAAGAAUCGCAGAGGACUAGAAAAGGUUUGAGUCUGAAAUUAUCUGGCACAGAGGAUUAAAGCUCAGAAAUAAGUGAUUGCGAAACAGUUCAACUUCCCUGUUAAUGACAACAACAACAGCAACACGCUUAUUAAUUCCUAGCUGGAGCAUCAAGCUUAUGAAGAUUUCCAAGACUUUAUUGUUGACCCUUGUUGAAGAGAACUCUACUUGGCUUCUUUCCUGGCUUUCCUAAAUUGUUCACAUACAAGAUAAACUACCGUCAUUCAGACUUACAGAAGUGAGAAGACAAGCUGAACCAAAUGUAAAAUGGUAGCAAUUUACAGAUGUCAGAACUAACAUGUGGAUGAACUUAGAGAUGGAGAAGAAAGCUGGGCUUUUCCAAAGAGUGGAUCUAUCUGAACUGGAUAGCACUAUUGAACUUUGUUGCAUAUUUUGUGGUAGCUCUAAAACUCCUCUGCUUGCUUACAUACAACCAGACACCAGUGCCUUCUGAAGCUAAUCCAGGCCAUUUUUAUAACCUAAUGCAGUAGCACUUUGCAAUUAGAUGAAGAAGAUCGGUGGGAUUUCUUUCUGUGGUGAUUAAAAUGUGUCAGGGGAAGAAAUCAAGACAAUACUCCAAGUGAAAAAUAUAAAGUCAGUUAUUUCUUUAAUAUUUUGUGUUAUAGUAAUCAUUUUUAUAUUUUGAGCAUACUUUUUCUUGUCUACUUAAAUACUCAAAAUUAAUUAUAAAAUGUAAAUGUAAGCACAAUGAGAUACCAUCUCAUCCCAGUUAAAAUGGCUUUUAUCAAAAAGAUAGGGAAUAAUGAAUACUGGUGGAAGGAUGUGGAGAAUGGGGAACCCUCGUACACUGUCAAUGAGAAUGUAAAUUAGUACAGCCACUAUGGAAAACUGUAUGGAAGUGCCUCCGAAAACAAAGUAGAACUACCAUGUGAUCCAGCAAUUACACUAGUGGGUAUAUAUUCAAAAGAAAGGAAAUCAACAUAUUAAAGAGAUAGCUGCAUUCUCAUGUUUAUUGAAGUCCUGUUGAAAUAGCCAAAAUAUGGAAUCAACCUAAGUGCCCAUCAGUGGAUGAAUGGUUAAAGAAAAUGUGAUUGAUAUGCAAUGGAAUAUUAUUCAGCCAUAAAAAAGAAUGAAAUCCUGGCGGGGCACAGUGGCUCAUGCAAGUAAUCCCAGCACUGACCUCAUGAAGACAGAGAGUAGAUUGGUGGUUACCAGAGGUUGAGAAGGGGAGAGGAGAGGAGGGAUGAAGAGAGGUUGAUUGAUGGAUAGAAAUAUACAGUUUGAUAAUGAUAAAUCAGUAGGGUGACUAUAGUUUAUAAUAACCUAUUGUAUGGUUCAAAAUAGCUAAAAGAGAAUAAUUGAAAUAACGUAAGACAAAAAUUUAAGAUGAUAGAUAUCCCAAUUACACUGAUUUGAUCUUUACAAAUUAUAUGAAUGUAUUAAAUUAUUACAUGUAUCCCCAAAAUAUGUACAAGUAUUUUGUAUCAAUAAAAAAUAAAAUUUAAGAUAAAGUAAAUGUAAUGAUUAGCUUAUAUUUCCUAGAUCGGAAAUAAAUAUUUACUUAAGUAUGUUUAUGAUGAAGAGUUUUUUUAUAUUACUAUAAAAAUAGACACCUUACAUAAACAUAUUACAGUUGGUGUUUAGAUGGCUCUUUUUUUUCUGGCCUUGAAUUUCUGGAAAGUAGGUAUGGCCUGCUAUGUCAGGACUAGUUCUUGGAAUUCUUUGUUGUUUUUCAGUCAGCCUUAUUUUCUUGGGUCAUGUUUUGAACAAUAUUUAUCAAAUGUCUGUUUACCAGACGUUGUUCCAGAUGCUUGAACAAAAUGAAAUGUCUGCUGUCAUAGAGUUUCCAGUCUAUGUAAGACAGUAAACAAAUGUAUAAUAUAAUGCUAGAUAGUGAUAAGUGCUAAAAAGAAGAAGAAAAUAGGAAAGGGGAAAGAGAGUUUCUGUGUGAUUGUAUGUGAAAGUGUCCAUGCAUGCCGCUCACCCAGUAUUUUAAAUAGAGUGAUCAAGGAAGCCUGUCUGAAGAAGUAACAUUUGAACAGAGAUCUGAAAUAGUCAGUCACGGGAACAUUUAGGGAGAUGUUCCAGGCAGGCAUUGUGGACAAUUUAUGUCACAAAAAAGUCACCCAAGUGUUAAGUCAAGUAACAUCCUGUAUGAUAACUAUAUAUACAUUUUUUUGUUUUUUCUUAAGUGAAAAACAAACUUAUUAGGUUUUCUGGGUACUCAUUAGGUUUUCAGAAAAGUUUUUCAUUUAAUAUCAUUAUUGCUGUAUAUUUCCCUUAAUGAUUAUUCUAUUAUUUAAUACAUAAGAUUUAUGGCUCUACAGAUACAGCUUCACAAUCCCUUAUCUGUAAUUCCAAAAUACAAAAAAAUUUCUUAAUUCAUUUAGUGGCAAAAUCUGAACUGACAUGAAUCUAUUUAAAAUUAUCCUUUAUGGGCCAGGUGCAGUGGCUUACGCCUAUAAUCCCAGCACUUUGGGAGGCCAAGGCAGGAGGAUCACUUGAGGCCAGGAGUUUGAGACCAGCCUGGCCAACAUGGUGAAAUCCCAUUUCUCCUAAAAAUACAAAAAUUAGCUGGGUGUGGUGGCACAUGCUUGUGGUCCCACCUACUUGGGAGGCUGAGGCACGAGAAUCACUUGAACCUGGGAGGUGGAGGUUGCCGAGAUCUUGCCACUGCACUCCAGCCUGGGUGACAGAGCGAAACUCUUGUCUCAAAAAAAAAAAAAGUAUUUAUUCCAUUUAGUGUGACUACUGAUACAUUUCAUUGUAGAAACAUUAGUGUGUUUGAUGAAGGGUUGCUACACAUUAAGUAAAAUAUAGAUAAUACAAUGUAUUGUACCCUAAAAUAUAAAAAAAAUUAAAUCCAGAAACACGUGUUCCCAAGAAUUUUGGAUAAGGGAUUGUAGAUCUGUGUCAGAUUUCUUCUUGAUUUUCUGAUUAAAUGUUACCAUUGUUGUUAAUCUUUAGAUACAUUGUUUUUAGAAGUAUAAUGCUAUAUAGUGCCCUUAUUAUAUACUGGCAUUGCAUAAGCACUCUAUAUAUUAGCUAAUAAAAUGCUAACAACAACUUUAUGAGUAAAUUCUAUUAUUCCCAUUUUAUGGAUGAGAACACUGAGACGCAGAGAUUAAGACACCUGCCCAAAUCACAGUUACUAAAUAGCAGAGCUAGAACUCAG
rnacentral:lncRNA from 1 species